AUGGGGAGUGCAUGUUCUGGGCCUGGGACCUGUGUACUAGUCGUGUCGACGUCUGGCAUUCCUCAUCCAUGGGGCGCGACGCCGGACGCGCCUAGCUCCAGCGGUGCCGGCCAGGACGCGUGUUGGCAAUGCCCUGCUUCAUCUCACGAUCUAAGUAUGGCGAGCGAGGCAGUGGAGAUGUGCUCCCGCCCGCCUCACCGAACGAAAUUUGAGAGCCCACGUCAGCGAUCCGCGCCAUCUCUUUCCCGGAUCGAGAUCUUGACCGUCCAUUCCAUCCGGAUCGAACGGCAGGCCGACCCUCCUCCCCUGUUAAAUCCCCUUCUCCCGAGACCACUCCAGCAGACGCAGCCACCACCAGUUCAUCCAUCCGAUCCCAUCUGCCCGCUCGCAGCUCCAAGGAAGGAAGGAAGCCUUCAGCCAUGUCUGGCCGCGGCAAGGGCGGGAAGGGGCUGGGCAAGGGCGGAGCCAAGCGACACCGGAAGGUGCUGCGGGACAACAUCCAGGGCAUCACCAAGCCGGCGAUCCGGCGCCUGGCGCGGCGGGGCGGCGUGAAGCGCAUCUCGGGGCUCAUCUACGAGGAGACCCGCGGCGUGCUCAAGAUCUUCCUUGAGAACGUCAUCCGCGACGCCGUCACCUACACCGAGCACGCCCGCCGCAAGACCGUCACCGCCAUGGACGUCGUCUACGCGCUCAAGCGACAGGGACGCACCCUCUACGGAUUCGGAGGCUGAUUGACCUGCUCCGUCUGGUCUCUUCCCCCGCUGUUCCAUCUGUCCGAGUGCGUGUGUUGUUGUUCCGUCAUUGGGUUUGGUCUGUGUAGUUAGUGCAAGGCGGUGUGUAUGGAUGCAAUGGAACCAGCGUUGGUAUUAUCUUAACUGCAUCUCUCGAUAUGUUAUAGUUUUAUAUCCUACUCUGCUU